AGUUGUGCAGGACUAAGAAGCUGACACCUUGUUCCUAAAAACUACUAAAGAUAAUUUCCUCAGAGAACCCUGUUUUUGGACUUUUACAACAAAGGAAAUCAUCCACUCUUUAAAAACUGCUUGCAGCAGUUAUUCGUUAUCAAGGACUUGUUAAAUGCAACAGACAGGAGUCUGAAUGGUUUAACCAGCAUUUAUACCAGAGACUGUUGUUUAAACCAUCGCAUUUACUUCAUUCCCUAAAAGGCUUACUGGGACUCACUACCUAAAUCAUCAUCCUGCUUAUUGCGGUCAUAACCGCUACCAAAAAGAUUAUAUUCGGCUUGUUUUUCACUCAUUCUUAGGCUGCCGAUAUUCCUCGCACCGGAUUGGUGCUCUGCCUCACACACCCAGCCUGACGUCACUCCCGAACAGAGAGACGCCGUCUCUUUCUCAAACAAGCUCCGGUUUUGGACGCACCCGAUUGGUGCACAGAGACACACCUCCAGAUCUAUCUCAGGCGUCCAAGAGAUAGGAUCCCCCGGUACGUAAGGCCGGUGUCGAUGGCAACUCCGAGGAGCAACCGCUCCUCGCCACCGUUGCCAUUGACCCUCGAGGGUUGACAGGAGGAGGAUUCAGGGACAGAUCUUGAAGUCCCUGAUAUCCAAGACGACCCAGUACCGGGGGAUGCUUUAGAACCCCCUUUGUCACCGGCGGUAGCUGAAGAGGAGGAGGCUAGAGUGGAAUGUAAGUAAAAAGAAUAUAAUGUUUUACCAAUUGUAUCUUGAUAAAGAAUUUAUCUAACAAAUGUUCUUUUGGUCUUUUUCAAGAUCAGGGCACCCAAACUGGCUCAUUCCUUCAGGAGAUCUUUGAUGACCUUGCCCAGGGCCUCAAUAUUGUAUCCAGGGCUGUGCGGGCCCUGCAGGAGGCCAUAAAUCACCUUUAAUUUUAAUUUUGAUUUAUAUUUUUGUAAAAUAAUUAUUAUUAUUUUUUUUAACUUUAUUUAUAGAAAAGAAUCCAAGACAUACAUGACAAGUGCAAUCACAUUGGUAUAAUAGGUUUCGAUAUCAACAUAUGCAUAGUAAGACAUAUAAGGCAGUGACCGUGUUAUAAGGCCCGAUACUUAAAUGAAAUCUUCAUGCAUGCACUUGGACUCAUCUUUUAUCAAAAAUGUUUUAAUAUAAAGACAAACAAAGGGAAGAAAAAGAAAGGAAAAAGAAAAAGCAUAAUGACUAAGAUAAGGAAAGAAAGAGAAUAGCAAAGGAGGAAAAACGGAAAGAUCAACAAACAACAAAGAUGCUCAUACUCACCCAAGGUACCUCCGGAUCCCCCCCAUCCAGCCAACACCGCGCCUCCGCAAAUGAAAGGAAUUCUCAGCAGUUUGAAUCAGUGGAGAGACACCAGUUGCCCUUUAGAAUGUUUUUAAAGGGAAGGAGAACUCUAUCCCUAACUAUGUCCGGUAACUGCAUCAGAUAUACCUCCCAUUUAAGGAGAAACCUCUUUACUCUUUUCUCAGGGUCUCCCCUAGUGUCCGCCUGCUCACAUAACAUCUGAGUGUGUACCGCCCUAAGCAGCUGCUGAAAUGGCGGGGUUCUCUCUCCCACCCAUUCCCUAAGGAUAGCCUGUUUAGCUAGCAUGAGGACUGUAAUUAUAAAAGUGUUGUAUUUAUGUGUCUGGUCUCUAGGCAUAAGAAAAAUCACAUACUGUGCUGAGAGGGGUAGAUUUUGCUUGGUUAGUUUGCCCAGCCAAAACGAAAUCUUCUGCCAGAACUUCUGCACUUUUGGGCACCCCCACAUCAGAUGAAUCCAAUCAGGGGACUCCCGGCUACAUUUACUGCAUAAAUCACGUGCCCCUCGAACCCAUUUUGCAUGCAUGCCAGGGGUAAUAUAAGCUUGGUGCAAGAACUUUAGUUGCGAUUCUCUCAGCUUUGCAGAAAUGGUACCCUGAAUUGCCCUCUCAAAGCUCAAAUUAAUCAGCGUUGUUUCCACCUCUAAAUCUUCAAAAUGAGACCAUUUCGAUACGAUCCCACGCAAAGUGGAGUCCUCAAAAUGACGAUACAACAGAUUAUAUGUGUGUGAGAGUCUGUAAGGUCCCAGUUUUGCCAAGGCACAAAGUCUGUCUAUAUUGGAAGGUUCCUUAGACAACAGUCCCCCUGAAAUUAGUGUAGAGAUGUAAUGUCUGCAUUGGAAGCACGCAAACCUGUGGGUGCUGGGGAGGUCGUAACUCACCCGCAAGUCUUGAAAAGGUAAUAUGUCAAAGGUCAAGGGAUGCAGUAGUUGAUAAAGUCUGGUUAGUUUUGAUUCUUGCCAUGUCUGAAAUGCUUGUGUAGUGUAUCCAGGAAGAAAGUUGAGGUUACCCUGUAUUGGGAGAUUUACUAGUAGAUUUCUGCAAUCCCCAUAGUCUACAAAUCUUGGCCUAGGCUCUCAAGGGGUCCCUAAAUAAGACAUGGUUUUGUACAAACAUGGGUAACGAUUUAAGAUCCGCAUGAGGCAAGAAAGCCAAGUGUAGCGGUUUGAUGAAGUUAGACUCUAGAUCAGGGACGGUGUAAAAGUCAUUCCCUACCAGCCAAUCCAGUAUAAACCUAGAAAGGGCUGCCCAAUUAUACCACAUGAUAUUGGGAAGACGGAGCCCACACCCACCUACCGGCAUUGACAGAGGAGUCUUACCUAUCCUGUGUUUCUUACCCUGCCAAAUAAAAUUACCAAUGGAAGUCUGCAAGGAGGCGAUGUCUUGCUGGGUGAGAAGCAAGGGCAACAUUUGCAAGGGGUAAAGAAGCUUAGGCAGAGCAACCAUCUUGAAAAGAUGCACCAGCAGUUCACAAGAGCUGCUGGUGCAAUGCACUGUUGGAUCGGGUCCGGCAGAUAUUUGUUAAAUCGGACUCAUUAUAUGAUUGGCUUUCACAUGUGCAUUGCUAUUUCAAUUAGAAAAGGUUAUCUGAGGAUUAAAGUGAAAAUGAAUAUCAAUUUUAUUGUUCAUGCUUCAGAUAGAGCGUACAAUUUUAUUGUUCAUGCUUCAGAUAGAGCGUACAAUUUUAUUGUUCAUGCUUCAGAUAGAGCGUACAAUUUUAUUGUUCAUGCUUCAGAUAGAGCGUACAAUGUUAUUGUUCAUGCUUCAGAUAGAGCGUACAAUGUUAUUGUUCAUGCUUCAGAUAGAGCGUACAAUUUAAAUCAACUUUAUAAGAUAGUCACAUUCUCAAAUUGUCAUCAGUCUAUUUGUAUCUGUAUUUUAAACCAAACAUUUCAAUUUAUGAAUUGUGACCAUUUUUAAUCAGAAAAUGAGUUGACCCUGUUGAUUGAACAUCACCAAUGAAAUUGUGCUUUUCCAUGGGGGGUUCAAUUGAAUUUAUCUUGCUCCUCAGCCUAGAUUCCUUCUUUUUAAAAUAAAGAUAACCAAAGAACUAAUUAAAA